rnacentral:ncRNA from 1 species
AAUUAAUUUAGUUAAGGUAGAAGGAGGAUAUGUUAUAUGACUAAUAAAAUUAAUAAUAUAAUAAAUUAUAUGUCUUUACCUUUAGUGCAAAGUAAAGUACUAAAGGGGGGGGUAUUAUCUUCUAACUAACUGGACGGAAAGACCCCAUGGAGCUUUACUACAGUUUGAUAUUGAAAUCAGGUAUGUCAUGUAGAGGAUAGGUGGGAGACUUUGAUGCUAAGGCGCCAGCCUUAGAGUAGUCAACCUUGGAAUACCACCCUUGAUAUAUUUGAUUUCUAACCUGCUACCGUUAUCCGGUAGGGGGACAGUGUCUGAUGGGUAGUUUGACUGGGGCGGUCGCCUCCCAAAAUGUAACGGAGGCGCCCAAAGGUUCCCUCAGAAUGGUUGGAAAUCAUUCGAAGAGUGUAAUGGCAGAAGGGAGCUUAACUGCGAGACCUACAAGUCAAGCAGAUGCGAAAGCAGGGCAUAGUGAUCUUGCGAUUCAGUAUGGAAUGGUCGUUGCUUAACGGAUAAAAGUUACCCUGGGGAUAACAGGCUGAUCCCACCCAAUAGUUCAUAUAGACGGUGGGGAUUGGCACCUCGAUGUCGGCUCGUCGUAUCCUGGAGGUGUAGUCGCUUCCAAGGGUUGGGCUGUUCGCCCAUUAAAACGGCACGCGAGCUGGGUUCAGAACGUCGUGAGACAGUUCGGUCCCUAUCCGUCGUGGGCGCAGGAAAAUUGAGGAGAGCUAUCCUUAGUACGAGAGGACCGGGAUGGACGUACCGAUGGUGUAUCAGUUGUCACGCCAGUGGCAGCGCUGAGUAGCUAUGUACGGAUGGGAUAACCGCUGAAAGCAUCUAAGCGGGAAGCCCUCUCCAAGAUGAGUUUUCCCUUUCUUUAAGAAAUAAGAUCCCAUGAAGACUACAUGGUUGAUAGGCUAGAGGUGGAAGAAUAGUGAUAUUUUGAGCUGACUAGUACUAAUAGAUCGACAAAUUAACUAA